rnacentral:rRNA from 1 species
AGUGAACGCUGGCGGUAGGCCUAACACAUGCAAGUCGAACGGCAGCACGGUAGGAGCUUCCUCUUACGGGUGGCGGGUGGGGUACGGGUUAGGAAUACACCGGACUCUACUUUUUGGUGGGGGCUACGGAAGGGAACUUAACGCUACAACCGAUCCAGACCUACGGGUGAAAGACGGGGAUCUUCGGCCCUUGCGCGUUUGACUGUGCCGAUGGCGGAUUAGCUAGUUGGCGGGGUAAAGGCCCACCAAGGCGACGAUCCGUAGCUGGUCUGAGAGGAUGAUCAGCCACACUGGAACUGAGACACGGUCCAGACUCCUACGGGAGGCAGCAGUGGGGAAUAUUGGACAAUGGGCGCAAGCCUGAUCCAGCCAUACCGCGUGGGUGAAGAAGGCCUUCGGGUUGUAAAGCCCUUUUGUUGGGAAAGAAAAGCAGCAGGUUAAUACCCCGCUGUUCUGACGGUACCCAAAGAAUAAGCACCGGCUAACUUCGUG